rnacentral:rRNA from 1 species
UACGAAGGGGGCUAGCGUUGUUCGGAAUCACUGGGCGUAAAGGGCGCGUAGGCGGCCGAUCAAGUCGGGGGUGAAAGCCUGUGGCUCAACCACAGAAUUGCCUUCGAUACUGUUUGGCUUGAGACCGGAAGAGGUUAGUGGAACUGCGAGUGUAGAGGUGAAAUUCGAUAGAUAUUCGCAAGAACACCAGUGGCGAAGGCGGCUGACUGGUCCGGUUCUGACGCUGAGGCGCGAAAGCUAGGGGAGCAAACGGGG